UACGGGAGCAGCAGUGGGGAAUAUUGCACAAUGGGCGCAAGCCUGAUGCAGCCAUGCCGCGUGUAUGAAGAAGGCCUUCGGGUUGUAAAGUACUUUCAGUCGUGAGGAAGGUGUUAAGGUUAAUAACCUUAGCAAUUGACGUUAGCGACAGAAGAAGCACCGGCUAACUCCGUGCCAGCAGCCGCGGUAAUACGGAGGGUGCGAGCGUUAAUCGGAAUUACUGGGCUAAAGGGCACGCAGGCGGUUAAUUAAGUUGGAUGUGAAAUCCCCGGGCUUAACCUGGGAAUGGCAUUCAAGACUGGUUAGCUAGAGUCUUGUAGAGGGGGUAGAAUUCCAUGUGUAGCGGUGAAAUGCGUAGAGAUGUGGAGGAAUACCGGGUGGCGAAGGCGGCCCCUGGGACAAAGGCUGACGCUCAUGUGCGAAAGCGUGGGGAGCAAACAGGGAUUAGAUACC
rnacentral:rRNA from 1 species